AAUGUAGUCAAGAAUGUAAUGGAAUGAGAAACGUAAUUUAAUCCCCAAUCUAGUCCUGUCUUUGGUAGCAAAAGUAAAAGUUAAUAGUAAAAGUUAAUCUUAUGAAAUGGAAGAUUUUAUUCCAAUAUUUAGUUUAUUAGGUCAUAAGGAUCUAUAUCAUGAGAGAUGAUUGAAUUUUACGCUGUCCAGUAGGUCCUUUAUCCAGGCUUGGGACUGGUUAUGUUUGUGAACAUAGGUGGAGUUUAUUAGGUCUUGUUGGUUGUGGUGGUGACAGUGGCGGUAGUGGUGACAACAUAAAUGAUGGUGGUAAGGGGUUGUGGUGGUGAUGGAAAAUAAAUAAUGAAGAAAAUAAAACAAUGAUUAUUACAUAAAUUUUUAUAUGUAAUGGGUAUUACACUAAAUAAAG
rnacentral:misc_RNA from 1 species